rnacentral:lncRNA from 10 species
GUGGGAGGGGAGGUAGGGCAUCAGGGAGAUGUCUGCUCUUGCUGGACAUGGGACUGCCAGUCAAGUCACUGAUGUCAGUGGGACACUAUCAGGGCAGCCCAAAGCUCUGCUGAGGAGAAAGAGGGGUGGGCUGGGCAGCUGCUCUUAGGUUUGAAAUUCCAAGCCCUUGUUCCCUCCAAAGCCUCAAGAGCUGGCAGAGGAUGACUGGAAAUUGUGCCUCCUCGCAGUGCUGCUUCCUACAGGUCUGAAGGUGAAUCUUGGAACACUCCUGGUGGAGUGGUCAACAGCAACUGUGAGGGACCUGGAGGUCAUGAACUUCCCUUCUUCAACUCACUGGGAGGGACAGGGUAGAGCCUGGCUUUGGCCUUUCACCAACAAAUACUACAGAGAAGCUGGUGCUGUGAAGGAACAUGAGCUCACAGGCCAAAAUAACCAGAUGCCACCUGAGGAGCCCAAGCCCCUGCCCACAAAGACAGCAAACUGAACUAGAAUUCAAAACAAACCGGGAAAUGUUGGCAAUCUGAAACAGGAACAAGGACCAAGCAGAUUUUUUUUUUUUUUUUUUAAGAGACGGAGUCUCACUCUGUCACCCAGGCUGGAGUGCAAUGGUGUGAUCUCAGCUCACCGCAACCUCUGCCUCCCAGGUUCAAGAGAUACUCCUGCCUCAGCCUCCUGAGUACCUGGGAUUACAGGUGCCCACCACCACACCUGGCUAAUUUUUGUAUUUUUAGUAGAGACGGGGCUUCACCAUGUUGGCCAUUCUGGUCUCAAACUCCUGACCUCAGGUGAUCCACCCACUUCGGCCUCCCACAGUGCUGGGAUUACAGGUGUGAGCCACCGCACCCGGCUCCAGAUAGAAAUAUUAAGGGUGAAAAAAUUAACAAAUGGGAUAGGACAGAUAUAUCUCACAACAAAUCCAUGAGGUGGGGCAUCAUACUGAGGGCCUCUGCCAAAACAAAGCAGGAAAAUAAAAACGUGGGAACACCCCCCCACACACAUACAGAGCAGUCCAGGGACAGAGCAGAAGUGCCAAAUCUGAAUAAUGGGAGUCGCAGAAGGAAAGAGAAAAAAAAAUGGAGAAAAUAUUUGGAAAAAUAAUGAGAAUACAUUUCCCAGAAUUAAAGAAAGAUCAAAGGACUCAUAGAAUAAUUAGUAAGAAAACUGUACAAACAGAAACAUUGUAGUGAAAGACAUUUAAGACCAAUAAGAAAAGCAGAAAUUCUGAAAGCUCUCAGAGAAAUAACAGAUCAAAUCAGAUGGACAUCAGGCUUUUUAACAGUAUCAGAUGAAAAAAGAAAGGAAGUGCUAAAGGAGAGAACUUUGACCCCAAAAUGUAUAGUAAGACAAACUCACUAACUUGAGUGUAAUAAAAAAAUAUUCUCAGGCGGCCGGGCAAGGUGUGUGACGCCUGUAAUCACAGCACUUUGGGAGGCCGAGGCAAGAGGAUUGCUUGAGGCCAGGAGUUCGAAACCAACCUGGUCAAUAUAGCGAGACCCCAUCUCUACAAAAUAAACAUUUUGAAAAUUAACUCCACAUGGUAGCACACGCCUGUAGUCCCAGCUACUCCAGAGGCUGAGGCAGGAGGACUGCUUGAGCCCAGGAGUUAUAGAGGCUGCAGUGAGCCAUGAUUAUGCCACUGAGCUCCAGCCUAGGUGACAGAGCAACACCUUGUCUCAAAAAAAAAAAAUUCUCAGGGACACAAGGCUUCAGUAACUUUUUCACAAAAGGGCCCAUUUAGAACAUAUUCUUGCAAGAAGUGGUCAAAUAUAGAAAAAUUAAUCUAGACAUGGGAAGAGAGAUGGGAAGUGAUGGUGAGCAAAUACGCUGGCAAAGUUUGUAGUCUGAAACAGGACUAACAAAAAGGAAAAAAAACCUGUAAGUAUAUAAUAAAAUAAUUUACAUAGUAAGUAAGAGUGGGCAAGACCAAAGGAACAUAAAAGUCUAACAAAGUCUUACUAGGAGAAGAUUUAGAUGGUAAGUUAAAGAAACCAACAGGGGUAAACAAACAUGAUUAGUAUUAAGAGUAAUAUGUUGGUCUGAGUGUUGUGGGUUAUUGUUAAGCUGAUUUACCAUUGUCUCCCCCCACAACCACGCUUGACUAGCUUUGCAUUUUGGCCUGGCGCAGUGGCUCAGGCUUGUAAUCCCAGCACUUUGAAAGGAUGAGGCAGGUGGGUCACGAUGUCAGGAGUUUGAGACCAGUGUGACCAAUAUGGUGAAACCCCGUCUCUACUAAAAAUACAAAAAUUAUCCGGGCAUGGUGGCAUGCGCCUGUAGUCCCAGCUACUUGGCAGGCUGAGGCAAGAGAAUCGUUUGAACCCGGGAGGCGGAGGUUGCAGUGAGCUGAGACCGCACCAUUGCACUCCAGCCUGGUGGACAGAGCGAGACUCUUGUCUCAAAUUAAAAAAAAAGUAAUAUCAAUAAAAGUAGAAAGUAUUACUUUCUUAAACAAGUAGAAGAAAAUUUGUUACUCAGUGGGAAGCAAGGGGAUAAACCGAAAAGUUCAGUAAACAGAAAUUGUGAAAAAAAAAAAAAACCCACAAAACUAAACAGCAGAAAUAAGUUCUAUUAGCCGUAAUUAAGUUUAAGGUGUUUACAUAUGAACUUAACACCAGACUCUGGCCUCUUCCUUCCAGUCUCCACUGCCCUCCCUGCAUGGAGACAGUGGCCUCUGAGGAGGUGAAGGCCUCCUCAAACCAUGGACACAUGUGCACGUGGUGAGGGGGUCUCCUGGUAAGGCAGCCACCACCUAGCAGCAGGGUAAGAGGGGCAGUGGGUGGCUGGAAUGGUUGGGAGGUUAAUUACACUGUGCAAACAAGUUCCUCAUUGAGAAAAUAAGUACAUAUACUGAGGAUAAUGGGAGCCAGGUUUCACACUUUUUGAGAAAGGAUUAUGAAUGUGGAAAGGGAGAGAAGGCUGCAAAGAAUCCUGAGGUGUUGAACUGAAAUUGGAAAAACUGGAAUCAACUCACAGGUUUAAAGAAACAAACUACAUACACACACACACAUGGAUAUAGAUGUGUAUAGUUAUAUGAAUAUGUGGUUAUUGAUUGGUUGCUCUACCCACUGAGAGGGCAUAGAAGCAAUUUUACCUUAGUAGCAGUGAGCACGCCAAGUGCUAAGGUCUUAUGGCUCUAUAGAGAGAUGACUGAUUCCAAAAGAGUACCACAAAAUCCUGGAAUAUCUUAAGAAAUGCUGAAAAACGGACAGGAACAUGUCAGAAGGACAUAAAAGCCAGCUAGAAGGGGCUUCCGUUGGUCAAAUAUAUGACAAUUUGAGUAUCAAAAUAAAUGAGCAUCAGAAUACAACCUACUGAAUAAGAUAGGAACCUAAGAGUCUAUAAUGACAUAUAUAAAUGAAUAAAAAAUAACAAAGACUCUCAAUAUAAACAUUUUUAAACAAUCUAACAAUUAUAGGACAAAAAAGAUGGGGGAAAAACAGGCAAAUAUUAACCAAGAGAAACUGGGGGAGCAAUAUUUACAGUAUCUGAUAAAACAAUUCAAUGCAAAAAGGAAAAAAGGUGGGAUACACAGAUAAGAAAGAACAAUGAAACAAACAAUGUAAAUAGGAGGAGUAUUAGUAUCCCUCAAACACAGCCUGAAAACUGACAAGGCUGCUAGCAGGCAAGGGAGGGUGGACAAACACUUGGGUUAAAAAGGGAAAUGGGAAACACUUUUAGGCUGAUGACCGCAUCAUUGUGCCUGAAUCGGGAAACACACCUAAAGCAGUACUGAGAGGAAAAAGUUGUAGAUUUUAAAUCAUUUUCAGGAAACAAGAAAGAUUAACAAUGAAUGAAGCAAUCAUUCAAUCAUUUAAAGAAUGAACAACUGGAAAAAAAAAACAAGAAAAGAGAAGGAAAGUAUUAAUAAAAUUAGAAAUACAUGAAAUAAGACUCAGCCAAAUGCUGGUUCUUUGAAAAGGUUAAGAAUGACCGGGAAAAUGAGAAGAUGCAAACACAAUACAAAAUUUAAAAAGGAAAUAAUUAUGAACUAUAUGUUAUAAACCUGAACAUAUAGAUGAAAAUGAGGAAGUUAAAAUGCAAAUUGGCAAGACAUUAAAAACUUGAGUAGACCAAUGGGCAUUAAGUAAAUAAAAAUGGCAAAGACCUCCCCUUAGGGGACAAAACAAAACACCAGAAUCAAGAGAUAAAUAAAAUUUAAGAUUUCAUUUGUGUGAAACACACACACACACACACACACACACACACACACACGAAUUAGGUUGGCUAGCUAAUAGUUUUGUUUUUUUUUUUCUUUGAGACAGAGUCUCGCUCUGUCUCCCAGGCUGGAGUGCAGUGGCACAAUCUCGCCUCACUGCAAGCUCCACCUCCU